CCUACGGGUGGCUGCAGUGGGGAAUCUUGCGCAAUGGACGAAAGUCUGACGCAGCGACGCCGCGUGGGCGACGAAGGCCUUCGGGUUGUAAAGCCCUGUGGGGCGGGACGAAAGGUCUGGUGGCUAACAUCCACUGGAAGUGACGGUACCGCUUUAGCAAGCACCGGCUAACUCUGUGCCAGCAGCCGCGGUAAGACAGAGGGUGCGAACGUUGCUCGGAAUGACUGGGCGUAAAGCGCGUGUAGGUGGUCUCGCAAGUCGGGUGUGAAAGCCCA
rnacentral:rRNA from 1 species